rnacentral:lncRNA from 1 species
GGCGGGGCAGCAGGGCAGCUCCACAGGAGCUGGGGAGAUCUGUACCAGUCAGAGGAAAGGGGGAGGCAUUCGAGACUUCAGCAUAGUUUGCACAAAUGGAAAGAGGGCGCUCCAGAAAAGUGGGAGCAGAGAGCUGCAGCUCAUAUCACAUCACGCUGAAUGGGGCUGGCCGUGCAGGACCCCCCUCCCUCCACCCCGGGCACCAAGAGUGUUCUGGGCUUGGCGGUCCCGGGGAACCUGCUCAUCAUUGCCGUCUUCACAGCCUCCUUGCUUCAGGCCCCUGGAACCCGCUCCUUACUAUAGGUUGAUCACCAGAGGGGAGAUCCCAGGCCAAGGAGUGACAGGGUAGAAUGCGGACAUGGUAACAGUGAAUCUGCCUGUGGGAAGGUCACCUCUGGGGUGAUGAAGGGAGACCUGAAGAAAGACAGAGCUCAGAGAUAAACCAGGAUGCUGCUACCAUAGUCCUGGGAGAAAACAAGAUGGUCUCCAGCAGGAGCAGGGAAGAUUUCUACUCCUCCAAGCCUGCCUGCUGCUCCAGUCUCUCCCAGAACCUGCUUCUCCCCGGAACUACAUCCUCCUAUGUACUCCUCUUCCCGGAGGCCCUGCACCGGAGGGGUAUCCGAGUUGUGAGCUCCUGGGCCCUCCUGAAGGCUCUCUCAGAUGUCAAGACUGAAAUUAUCCCUCCCUCAGCCUCCCAGGGCUGCAGGUUCUUCUUCUGCUUUUGGAGUCAGGCUUCAACAUGCUGUUGCUGUUGGACAUGGAUGAGGAGACAGGGCCGGAACCCCGUGGACGAUAUGUCCUCAGUGACCCAGAGAAUGGCUGCAGUCAGGCUCUCAUGGGACCCUCACUUCCAUGCUGCUUCCCCUCGCCAUGCUGGGUGGCAGCCAACCUGGCAGGAGGGCCGGAUGCUCACCCUGAAAGACAAAAGCCUUUGUGCAACUUCCUGUGGCCCUUAUUGUCUGCCGGCUCCCACCCUGCCUUGCCUUGUCAGAGACAAGAUAAGACAUAAGACUGAACUUUUCCUUUGUCACAUGGGGUCUCACUGGGACAUAGAAGUGACCACGCUUCACUGAACUCCAGUGGGAUAUUUAUACCACAGAGAAUCCUGAGACCCUCUAUCAAGUGUCUGUUCCCAGAAGGCUUCAAAAACUGUCCUGCAGGUAAACAGCUCAUGGUGAGUCUCAGCCACCUGCUCUCUAACUUCCCAGGGUUAACUGUGCUUUCAACACAACCAAACACCUGCUGGGAAAGUGCCAGGCCCAACACUAGGUUCCAUGGAUAUUAUCUCACUAAACAUCACAGCAACUUGCAGGGCAGAUUGUCAUUGUCUUCAUUUCACAACAAGGAAAUGGGUUUAAUAAGCUGACUGACUACACCCGCUUGUCUGGGACUGAGUGGUCUCCCAGGAUGGGGACUUGCAGCUUUGAAACAAAGCUGGUUUCAGGUAAAGCAGGACAGGCA